rnacentral:rRNA from 1 species
CACAUGCAAGUCGAACGAUGAUGCCCAGCUUGCUGGGUGGAUUAGUGGCGAACGGGUGAGUAACACGUGAGUAACCUGCCCCUGACUCUGGGAUAAGCGUUGGAAACGACGUCUAAUACUGGAUAUGACUGCCGGCCGCAUGGUCUGGUGGUGGAAAGAUUUUUUGGUUGGGGAUGGACUCGCGGCCUAUCAGCUUGUUGGUGAGGUAAUGGCUCACCAAGGCGACGACGGGUAGCCGGCCUGAGAGGGUGACCGGCCACACUGGGACUGAGACACGGCCCAGACUCCUACGGGAGGCAGCAGUGGGGAAUAUUGCACAAUGGGCGAAAGCCUGAUGCAGCAACGCCGCGUGAGGGAUGACGGCCUUCGGGUUGUAAACCUCUUUUAGUAGGGAAGAAGCGUAAGUGACGGUACCUGCAGAAAAAGCACCGGCUAACUACGUGCCAGCAGCCGCGGUAAUACGUAGGGUGCAAGCGUUGUCCGGAAUUAUUGGGCGUAAAGAGCUCGUAGGCGGUUUGUCGCGUCUGCUGUGAAAUCCCGAGGCUCAACCUCGGGCUUGCAGUGGGUACGGGCAGACUAGAGUGCGGUAGGGGAGAUUGGAAUUCCUGGUGUAGCGGUGGAAUGCGCAGAUAUCAGGAGGAACACCGAUGGCGAAGGCAGAUCUCUGGGCCGUAACUGACGCUGAGGAGCGAAAGCGUGGGGAGCGAACAGGAUUAGAUACCCUGGUAGUCCACGCCGUAAACGUUGGGCGCUAGAUGUAGGGACCUUUCCACGGUUUCUGUGUCGUAGCUAACGCAUUAAGCGCCCCGCCUGGGGAGUACGGCCGCAAGGCUAAAACUCAAAGGAAUUGACGGGGGCCCGCACAAGCGGCGGAGCAUGCGGAUUAAUUCGAUGCAACGCGAAGAACCUUACCAAGGCUUGACAUACACCGGGAAACGGCCAGAGAUGGUUGCCCCCUUGUGGUCGGUGUACAGGUGGUGCAUGGUUGUCGUCAGCUCGUGUCGUGAGAUGUUGGGUUAAGUCCCGCAACGAGCGCAACCCUCGUUCUAUGUUGCCAGCGCGUUAUGGCGGGGACUCAUAGGAGACUGCCGGGGUCAACUCGGAGGAAGGUGGGGAUGACGUCAAAUCAUCAUGCCCCUUAUGUCUUGGGCUUCACGCAUGCUACAAUGGCCGGUACAAAGGGCUGCGAUACCGUAAGGUGGAGCGAAUCCCAAAAAGCCGGUCUCAGUUCGGAUUGAGGUCUGCAACUCGACCUCAUGAAGUCGGAGUCGCUAGUAAUCGCAGAUCAGCAACGCUGCGGUGAAUACGUUCCCGGGCCUUGUACACACCGCCCGUCAAGUCAUGAAAGUCGGUAACACCCGAAGCCGGUGGCCUAACCCUUGUGGAAGGAGCCGUCGAAGGUGGGAUCGGU